GGGACAUAUGCCAGAGCAGACAUAAAUUUCCCAGGAGUGAAAAGAAGACAUAUUGAAGGAAAUCAGGAGCGUGCCAGCACAGGUGAUCAAGAAAUUAGGAUGUCAGAGGAACUGCCGAAGUCCAGAGCCAGGCCAGAGCCUCCUGGCAGGAGGGACCCAGGGGCCAGCAAGGCCUGAAGCCGGGGGAAGGGAGGGACGAGCGGGUCCUAACUUGCAGAGCAGAGGAGCGGCGGCCCAGAGGAGCUGAUGCAGGAAGCAGUCUCCGGCUAGGCUUUAAAUGCAUCCUGUAGGCCCAGAAGGAACUGCCCAGUCUGCAGACUUCAGCAAGGCCGUGCUGGUGGAGUAAGGACAAAGCAAGCCACAUUUGCACAGACACGGAGCCACCGAGCAGUCUCUUUCCUUCAGAGAUGCUGCCGUUAUAGUCCAGGGUGCAUGGUCCCUCUGUCCUGCAGUUCCUGCCCCUUCUCACGCCUCCUUCUUCCUGCACCAACCUUGUUGCAAAAUUCAGCCCCUAUUGGACGUCCUGAAAAAGAAUCUGUGAGCACAAGUACUCUGGUGAGUGGUAUAGACUUCACUUCAGAUUUAGGAAGGGGUCUACACAUGCUAGCAGUCGGCAACAACCUAACUCUCCAUGGAUAUUUCUUGUCUUCUUUGUCAUUUGUGCAACUCAAAAACUCAGAUGGACAAUUUGGUGAGACGUGGCGUUCAUGUACACAGGGAGAGUGAAAUUCCAGCUCAGGAGUGACUGCCUCAGUCCGUGUACUGUGGAAGCUGGACCAGGUGCAGGUGGGGAGGGGAAGGUUAGGGUAUGGGGAACCUAAUGUCUUAUACAUCCACUUUCUAGAAAGCCUUUUCAUGAGGGAUAAUCUACUCUUUGCAGCAGCCCUAUGAAAUUCACAUCUUUAGCACCAUUUCGUAAGCAUGGAAACAGCACCCAGAAAGAACAGGGAAAAAAUUGGGAGCAGCUGAAUCACAUGACUUGCAAAUUGGAAGCCAGAAUUCCAACUGGGAUCUGACGGGCAUGGGUUGAAUGGAGGAAGAAUCAUUUCCUUUGGGUGCUGAGCACUGAGCAUGUCCCUGGGAGGAUCAGUUUCCCUUGGGCGUGGGCAUGAGGUCCUAUUGAUGAUGACAGCGCUGAGCUGCCAUCUCCUCCGCUGACCACAAGCCCUUUGAGGUUAGGGAAAAGCCAUUCCUCACACAGCAGCAACAGCAAUGGACUCUACCAUUUCUUGGACCGCCAGCUCUGUGCUGAUAGCUUCCGUGAAUUACUGCACUCAUCCCUCCAGUCAGCACACAGUCCUGGCCCCGGAGAGGGAAUAGGCACAGAAAUUAAACAACCUGCCCACGCGGAAGCCCAGCUGGGGUGGCUCGUCCAGGUGGGAUGAGCGUGAGACGGAGCAUGUAGGAAUGCUGUUCUUCAUGCCCCGGGUCCUGCCUGCAUAGCCUCAGUCACUACAGCAGCAUCUAUCCAGUACCUUCUCUCUACUAACUGCAGAGCAACUCGGACAAAGACAUCCGAUGCCCUGGAAGUAACCGACACCCGGGGCUGAUGACUUCAGGAGAUAUUUCUCAGGAAGAACGGAUCAGACUCUGCCUGAUUGCCAGGGAUCAGAGAGGUUGUGUGUGUGGACUCUGGAGAAGGACACACCAAGUUCUGAAUUGAAAGCCACCUUCAUAGUCCCACGUUCCAACAUUGCCCAAUUUGCUGGGAAUAAUGACAAUAUAUCCGUGAUAGGAUUUUGACAAGAACUCCAUGAGACUUUGAACCAGGAAGAAGGAAAGCACAUGGCCCAAAGGCAGAAUCCAAUUAAAGGCAUCUAUUAUGAUUAAUAAAUAGCAAGCAUUUUUAGUAACAGAAAAAAUGUGAGAAUGAGAAUUGUUCAAGGAUUUCACGUGUGGGUAUUUGGGUCACUGGGGACAAUUCGUACAGCAUGGCGUUCUGGAAGAGAAGGAGUUUGUGGGUGGUGCGUUUGCUUUGUGGUGGGGCCGUUGUAUUUAAACAGGCAGAGCUGGGCACACAGGACUGAAACCCUAAGGAGGGGUCAGCGUGUGGCAUAGAGAGUAGCAUAGAAAUCAUGGCUGAGACUGUGAGAAUAAACAAGGAACUCUAGAAAGAGAAUAGAA